rnacentral:rRNA from 1 species
CGCCUCUUGAUUUCCAUAAGAGGUCCAGCCUGCCCAGUGACAAAGUUCAACGGCCGCGGUAACCUAACCGUGCAAAGGUAGCAUAAUCACUUGUUCUCUAAAUAGGGACUCGUAUCAAUGGCAUCACGAGGGCUUCACUGUCUCCUUUCUCUAAUCAGUGAAACUGAUCUCCCCGUGAAGAAGCGGGGAUUCUUCUAUAAGACGAGAAGACCCCAUGGAGCUUUAAGCAAUGCAUUUACUCUUUACAUGUUUUUAUCAAUUUAGUAAGAUAUCUAAAUACUAGCUUUAGGUUGGGGGGACCGCGGAGUAUAAAUUAACCUCCACGACAAAUGGGCUACGCCCUUAUCCACGAGCCACAACUCUAAGAAUCAAUAAACUGAUGUAUAAUGACCCAACAAUUUGAUCAACGAACCAAGUUACCCUGGGGAUAACAGCGCAAUCUACUUCAAGAGCCCCUAUCGACAAGUAGGUUUACGACCUCGAUGUUGGAUCAGGGUAUCCCAGUGGUGCAGCCGCUACUAAUGGUUCGUUUGUUCAACGAUUAAAACCCU